UAGCAACAGCUAUUAUUAUAUUUUUCGUAUUUGCUUUUUGUUUUUGGAAGAGGAUAUGCACACAUACACUUCUCAGACUUGCCUAACUUUUGGGUUUUUCCAUUGUGGCCGAUCACUGUAAUGCAAUUGUAAAACAACUUCCUGCCCCUUUGGCUCAAGUUCUAGGAGCUGUAAUGCUACGUUCUCUGCAAAACGUUUUUUCACCCCCUCUUUGCCAAAGAAGCAUCAUAUCUCACCCCGCGCGCGCGCGCGCAGCCCCCCCCCCCCAACCCUAACAACCUUCCAACAAUUUGGGGGAGGGAGUGGUGUCGAAGAUUCCUAAUAUGAUUUUUUCCCUUUUUUGGUCGAUCGAGCCUUAAGAAUGUUGAACAAGAGAUGUCUGUAUCGCAACUGGAUAACCCGUGUGCUUUUAAAAGAAAACAACAUUCAUGAAACAGCAAAAUCUUCAGAUACCAGACAACUAGGAAGGCACCAGGCUGCGCAAAUAUGCAGAUGUCUAGAAAUACAGGUAUCUAAAGAGUAGAUUUUAUUUGAUCAUCUUAUUUGAUAGACAAUCAUGCAAGAGAUUGCUGACUCCUUCUUUAUGCAAAGAGAUACAACCUGCCAAAAAACCAGCAUCCACAGUAAGAUGCAAUAGUUUACAUAAUUGGCUUAAGCAAUGUAACAGGGCUCUAUUAAGUUUUAUGAUGAGACUUCAGCAUAAGCCCCAUUGCCUACAACAGACGGGAUCAAACCCUGAAUAUACAUUUCUCCAAUUCAUCUGGAUACAUUUGCGAGAAUAUAUUGAUAACUAAUAGUACCAAAAAGAAGCAUAUUUACUAGCCACAGGGAUGGCUACAUUGUAUGAAAUAAAUAGAGAGAGCCCUGGCCAGAACUUUGCAACCUAUGCUUUUAUGCUUUGGAGUGUGUCUGUACCCCACCAUAACCAUUCUGUUUUUGCUUUUUACGUUCAACAAUUCAAGGGUUGAAGAGCCUGCAGAUUUCAAGGGGUUUGCCAGUUUCAGGCAGACUGUCCAAACAGAGUUAUGCAAAAAGUUAAUUGAGGUCACCUUGGAAAAUAUUCAGCAAAGCUAAUUUUGGGUCAAGGCUAGGGUUGCCGUGUAAUCACCCCACUUCCUGGAUGAACUUCUCGAAAUACUUCCUUGUUACUUCAUAAGUCAACUACGAAUCAUAUAAGAAGUCUAGAGCCUUGUAGCUUUACCGGCAAGGUAAAUUAUACCUAGCUUCUCUCCUAAACCAGUACUCUUUGUAUAAGGAUGUCUUUUUUUCUUUUUGGAAGAAUUGCUACCAUCAACUUCAUUUAUAUAACUGCCCAGACCCUAAGAUUGGCUUCAGUGGUCCUUCUUCAGAAGCCCCUGCCAAACAAAAUGAGGCAAGUGACCUUUUUCGUUGUAGCACCCUGAUUGUGGAAUGCCCUCCCUAGAAAGGCCCGCUUGGCACUUACAUUGUGGUCUUUUCAGCGCCAUGUAAAGACAUUAUUUUCCCAGGUGUUUUAAUCUUUCAGUUUUUGUUGUUUUAAAAUCUUUAUACUGCUGUUUUUUACUCUGAUUUUAUGGUGCAUUGAAAUGUUUAUAUUAUAUUUUAUUGUGAUAUAUUUUAUAGUUUUAAUUGUUGUGAACCGCUCAGAGAGCUUUGGCUACUGAACAGCAUAGAAAUGUAAUAAAUACAUAAAAUAAUCUCAAUAUGAUAAAUUCAAAUUAGCAAAAACAAACAAAACCCACUGUGUGAAGAAAUCAGAAGUGGCCUGAAAACAUCAACAAACACCAAAAAUGAAUAAUAGUUAAAAGCAAAGAAAAACCUCCCAUAACUGGUGCAGAGGUUAUACAAAAUCCCAACUAUUCCUGUACUAUUUUCUUCCAGCAAUACAUCCGAAUAGUGACUAGCUAUCUCAAGGAGCUGGUCCUGACAUCUUGUGAAGCAAACAUGAUGGUAAAGCUCUAUAUGGCCUUCAAACCAAAUAUAAGAACUGGAGGAAGCCACUUUGCCUACAGGACAGGUUGAUCAACAGUAUGCACCCCCCUCCUGCCCCCACGAGCUACAAAGAGCAACGUGUUAGAAACGUUUUGCAAAGCAGUGCAAAUGGAUUUUUUAAACGGCAGAAAUGCUUCAUCAUGAUCAAAAUGGAUGGAAUUUAGGAAGCAAAAAAUGUUAUUUAGAUUGCACUUCUGUAUAGACUGCAAAUUUGGAGAUGUUCCAUUUGUAGCAAAACUAAAUAAUACUCAUUUUGAAAAUGCUGUUAUGUUCCUACUUCUCUAAAUAUAUUUACUCUGUUUAGAAUAAGGGUAAUUUUGAAAGAGUCUAGUUAUUUUGCCUGUAUAUACACCUCGGAAUAAUCUCACAUCUCUAGGAUUUAACCUACCAAUUGCUAAACAAAAAUUCCAACAAUAAUAAAAUGUAGUGAUGUUAAUUCUAGAUGGAAGAUUUUUUAAAAUGGGACAACUGGUAACUUUACUGUAAUUGAAAGCAUUAUUAUAAUUGCAGCGAUGUAAGAUUUUUUAAUUUACAUUUAUUGGACUACAAAAGUGUAUUAUAAAAGAAGACAAAUAAAAGCGGCAAUCCUAAUA